CAUGGCUAGAUUGGUAUGAAUUCUUGUUUUCUUCAUUGGAAAAACUAUCAUCCCCAAGAAAACAUAAAGACAAAGACCCUCCGAUGGAUGUGUCUUAAUAAGGUGAGGGAGAAUUCAUCAGAAUAAGUACAGUAAGAUUUGUUGUGACCGUACCUUUCCUUCAAAUAGUCAAAGGGAAUGUAUGAUUCCUUCAGACAUGUGAAGUCGAGAUUCUUCUUUAGACCCAUUAUUUUGAGAAAACCUCUAUCCUUGCGAUUUUCCGGCAUUAGCGAACCCGGAGUUUCCCAUGGUAUCCCAGCUAGUCCUCCUAUUUACCCAAGCAAAGGUGUCAUCUCAAUGUCUCUAAGGCAAAAUACCGACCUACCGCAAUCCUAAAGCAAAAUUGCAGCUUUUACGAUUUUAUUAUUGGGUUGAAUGUCUAAGAGAGAAGGCAUGUUUCCUAGAUGUUUCCUGACGAGAGCUUGAUCACUGGGAUGGAGAUCUCCCCACCAACUUAGCAAUUUGGGGUGAAUAUUGGUAACCAUGCUGAAUCUGGGGACUUCCUGCUUCAUUUUCUGCAAAACAAAAGUGUUAGGUCCUUACCUCCGCCAGAGUCGACUAUUUAAUAUCAAUAAUUGGCAUAGCAAACAUUUUGCUCUCCACAUAAAUGCACAGAAGGUGAUAAGAUCUAUUUGGGUUCCAGGGAAACACAGUAGACUUUGGAUAAGGCUUAUCUUAAAGAGUCAUUAUGUAGAUGUCAUAACUGACUCGGCUAGGUUGACCAUGAUGUAUGCAUAAUUUAAAGAGAAAUGGUUUCUAUGGGGUAUUAGACUGGUACCCUCGAGUGGACAACUCAAGAGGUAAAUGCACUGAACCGUCGACUAAACCGUUGAUCGACUGGUUUUAAUGCAAAUAGGCCUUUGCCAAAUUUAGGGGGUAA
rnacentral:lncRNA from 1 species